UUUCCCUUGGCUCCGGGCUUCCUGCAAGCCGAAUUUAGCUCUGCCAAGCCACGUGGACCGCAGCGGGCUCGGCAGAGGCCGAGCCUGGGAGACGCCGGAGGCGGCGGCUGCGGCGCGGGGACCUGAUCGGCGCCCCGAGAGGAGCUCCCCGCUCUCUGGACGCGGCCCUCAAGCUGGCGGGGCUAAGGAAGAGCGCCCGGGAGGCCCGGGAGCCACUGGGGUCCGUUUCAGCAGGAAGACGGGCACGCACCGAGAGGAUGGCAGUGCCCAGAAGAACUCGAGUCGGGGGCACGGUGGGGAGAAGGGGCCGAUCCCCUGCUGGCGACCGGGCAGAGCCACCCACUUCCUCUAAGGGCGCGGGACUCGAGGUGGGAUUUAGGGAGGGGGAAGGGAGGAGCGUGGGCUGGACGACUCUUGCGGCCAGAACCGCGUUCAGAGCCACAGAGCCGGGCACUGCGGCCGGCCCUGGUCCCGGCCCCGGCCCUGGCCCAGCCCUUGCCCUGGCUCGCCUGCCGCCGCUUUUUCCUUCCAGAUGCGGAGGCUGCGGCUGGAGCUUGGGGUUUGCGGAUUAGGCUUGCAGUUAUUCAGCCCUCCCUCUUUUACAGGGAAGCGGGGGCGGUGGAGACUUCUUUUGCUGAAAGGCAGAGUGCAGCGCUUUGAUGCUAAAUGCACUGGAGAGAGAUCAACCUUUUGCAGUGGAAGGGGAGAGUCCCCCAGCCUUUGUUUCAUCAGACGGCUGCUGUAGUACAGGGAUUCAGGCCAGGGCCCGCAUGGCCGGACUUCUUGGUUCAAAUCCUGCACUGCCACUCAACGGAUGUGUGAGCUUGGGCUAGUGACUGAACCUCCCAGCCUAGGUGACUCUGUGCCUCGGUGUCCUCAUCUGUGAGAACCGACCUAAGAAGUGUCUGUCUGAUAAAGCUGUUGUGAUGAGUUAGUGAAUUCGUACACAUAGAACCUUUAGAACUGUCUUUGACAUGUAGUAAGUCAGCUGUGUAGAUGGUGGGUUUCUCCAGUGUCAGGUCCCUGCCCACAGCAGGAAGAUGACCUGUGCUAGAAGAUGGGGGCUAGGGUGUUGGGGAAGACUUCAGGGACUUGGGAGAGAAAAGGAGAAAUAUUCAGAGAUGAGAAAAGUAGAAGAAAAACCAGCUUUUAAAAGGGGGAGGAGAGAGAAUGAGAAAAAUAACUACUAGAAAGGGAAGGAAAAGAUGAAUAGCCUUUUAGGUACUUCGGGACCUGCUCUGAGACCUCUUGCCUGACGCCCUUGGUUUUUGAUAGAAUUCUAGAGAAGGGGUGAGCCCUUUUGUCUGCCUGGACACAUCCUGUGGGCUUUCCUCUUUCUGAAACUCAGGUCAAGGUGUUCACUGCAUCUCCAGAUUGCUUGUGUGCAUGGGAGGAGGGGGGCAGAGAGUUCUGCUUACAUCGGCUACUGUCCCCUCCACCAGCAGCGUCUUCCAGC
rnacentral:lncRNA from 1 species